rnacentral:rRNA from 1 species
UACGGGGGGGGCAAGCGUUGUUCGGAAUUUCUGGGCGUAAAGGGCUCGUAGGUGGCCAACUAAGUCAGACGUGAAAUCCCUCGGCUUAACCGGGGAACUGCGUCUGAUACUGGAUGGCUUGAGUUUGGGAGAGGGACGCGGAAUUCCAGGUGUAGCGGUGAAAUGCGUAGAUAUCUGGAGGAACACCGGUGGCGAAGGCGGCGUCCUGGACCAACACUGACACUGAUGAGCGAAAGCCAGGGGAGCAAACGGG